rnacentral:rRNA from 1 species
GACGAACGCUGGCGGCGUGCUUAACACAUGCAAGUCGAACGCUGAAGCUUGGUGCUUGCACUGGGUGGAUGAGUGGCGAACGGGUGAGUAAUACGUGAGUAACCUGCCCUUGACUCUGGGAUAAGCCUGGGAAACUGGGUCUAAUACUGGAUACGACAUGCCACUGCAUGGUGGUGUGUGGAAAGGGUUUUACUGGUUUUGGAUGGGCUCACGGCCUAUCAGCUUGUUGGUGGGGUAAUGGCCUACCAAGGCGACGACGGGUAGCCGGCCUGAGAGGGUGGCCGGCCACAGUGGGACGGAGACACGGCCGAGACUCCUACGGGAGGCAGCAGUGGGGAAUAUUGCACAAGGGGCGGAAGCCUGAUGCAGCAACGCCGCGUGAGGGAUGACGGCCUUCGGGUUGUAAACCUCUUCCGGCGGGGAAGAAGGGGGAGGGACGGGAGGGGGAAAAGAAGCGCCGGCUAACUACGGG